rnacentral:lncRNA from 1 species
GGGACGCCUCGGCCGGGCGGGCGCGCCCCUUGCCUGCCCCUUGCCUCGGCCGGGCGAGUGCGACGCAGCUCCGCUUUCUCCGCGCGCGCCUCAGCCGCAGACCGCCCGGGCCCGUCUCCCUCCCGGAGCAGGGCUCUGAAUGGCACUUGCAUUCUCUGUGAAUCCAGCAUCCCAGCUCCAGCCCCUUACAGUCAGGCAGACAGCCGUGGGAAGGCGCUUGGCUGCUUGCGGCUCUCGAUUGGCCCUGACGUCAAGAGGCAUGGGUUUCAGCUUCAUGGUUUACUGGAUAGAUUGGUGGUGCAAGCGACUGAAGCCCUGGCUGUCAAGGAUGGAGCUGAUGGAGUGGUAGGACACUGCCUCCUGGAAUAGCCAGUGGGUACCUUGUCUUCUCUACACACUUCCGAGACAAGACUCAAUUUAGUGAGUGGUUCAGUGGACCAAAAGUCAUACUUUCCAUCAACCAGAGAUUGGUGAGACCAGGCAAGAGGAAGACUCCUCUUCUCAUCUUGGGCUGCACCUCUGACUUCCAUUACAAGUUAUAAUGGAAAGUCUUUGCUCGUCACAGGACCCAUGGAAAGUGUGACGGUGCAGCAAAGCGCUGCAGGCACAAAGCAGACCUCAGGGCCUGCGCCCCGCGGAGUGCUCACUUGCUCGCCCAAUAGGUGCUGCACCGAGGUCGCAAGUGAGCGAAGGUCUGUGGGUUUUCUCUAUGUCAUUUCCUGAGCCGGUGAUAUGUGGUCCCUUUGCUUCCAUCAAACAACCUUCACCCCCACUCUGCCUAUGUGCUGAGCACCACAGAAGCAGAGGCGGCGGUCACCGAGGGGUGAGGGAGCUUCUCCCAGUUUGCUGCAGAUCUAAGACCCUUCUUUCCAGCAGAGCCUGUGUGCAUGUAUCCAGGAGCUAGGAUUGAAAACACUUAAGCUUCUUUUGUUCUACCUUGUUCCACAUCAUUGUUAACUACUACAUGUAGGUUCAGCACAAACGCUUUUGUUUGCUUUUUCAGUACUAAGGAUUGAACCCAGGACCUUGGCAUUGAGCUACAUCUCCAGCACCUCCUCCCCUUGUUUAAUUUUUAUUUUGAAAUAGGAUCUUGUUGAGUUGAUAAAUUGCCCAAGCUGAGCUGGAACUUGUAAUCCUUCUGCUUUCUCCACCCAGAAUGCUGUUACUAUAGGCGUGUGCCACCACACCUGGCCAGUACCACCUUUACAAAGCAGACCUACACUGUACUUGUGACAUAUUUCUUGUGUUUGUUCCAGGGGUCAUCUGCUUAACCCAUACAUCCACCCCCUUCCCCGCUCUGUUCAUGGCUUUGUUGUCU